rnacentral:piRNA from 1 species
UGGCUUGAGGUUUCCUCAGAGACCCUUUCC